AUUGAACGCUGGCGGCAGGCCUAACACAUGCAAGUCGAACGAGUGGCGGACGGGUGAGUAAUGUCUGGGAAACUGCCCGAUGGAGGGGGAUAACUACUGGAAACGGUAGCUAAUACCGCAUACCAUCGGAUGUGCCCAGAUGGGAUUAGCUAGUAGGUGGGGUAACGGCUCACCUAGGCGACGAUCCCUAGCUGGUCUGAGAGGAUGCCCACGCACACUGGAACUGUGUCACGGUCCAGUCUCCAACGCGAGGCAGCAGUGGGGAAUAUUGCACAAUGGGCGCAAGCCUGAUGCAGCCCUGCCGCGUGUAUGAAGAAGGCCUUCGGGUUGUAAAGUACUUUCAGCGGGGAGGCGUUACCCGCAGAAGAAGCACCGGCUAACUCCGUGCCAGCAGCCGCGGUAAUAC
rnacentral:rRNA from 1 species